UGUCAUCACACACAACAUAGUUACACUGCCAUUUAAGCCUGCAGCUACGCCAUCAAUUGUCGCCGCCAGAUUCGUUCAUCUCUCAGUUCCCCCUACUCCUGAUCCCCUCUCACUUCUGUUCCCUUCUCAGCGCAGCUGGCGGCAGGACAUGCCUAGUCCUCAGCCUUAAGAAGUGCUACAAACUUCUGCCUUGUCUGCUCUCUUGUGGCUGACAGCCCCUGUCCUGCGGCCUCAGAAAGCAGCAGCGGUGGCAGUGGCCAGACUGUAGUCACCCGCUCAGCUCACUGCCCUCCCUAGUCGGCCAUGAUAACGAAGCAUGCUACAAUUCUCCUUCCCGGAGCCAGAGAAGUACUGGUGAUAAGGAAGGCUGGGAGAGAAAGAAGAUACUGUAUGUCUGCAAGUUUGCUGAAGAUCAUCAUCUCCUGGCUUCUAGCAGCAACUAUUCAGCCUCCCACCACAGACCCUUCUGCUUCCUGAUACAGACUCGCAAGGGGCACUACACAUAGCACCAGGUCUUCAACUGGAUCCUUCAGUCUCUAGUGUGCAGACAGACCCUCUGCACUCUUCCACACCUGUCUCUGUGGGCAGCUAUUAUAAGCCAAUCUUGUAAAGUCUUAUAUAUUUGUAUACAUUGUACUAUAUGUGUUUUUCUAGUUAGCACUGACUGAUACAUUAUUCUUAUUGUGAUAACUUGAAUUUUAAUGGUUGUUUUACUUCUGUUAACUGUAAGUUCUUUGAUAUUGAAGAUAGUCAAAGAGGGGCUGGGGGCUUAGCUCAGCGGCAUAAACACUUGCCUUGCAAGUGUGAGGUCAUGAGUUUGAUGCCCAGUACAAAAAAAGGUCAAAGAAUGAGCCUAAUGUAAGAUACCUAUUAGAAGACCCUAGAAGUGUUAAAAAAGUCUGACCAUAUUACCAGUUUGCAAAUAACAAGAAUAUACACUAAGUUAAUUCUGUAGUGAUUCAAAGAUGUAAUAUGAUAUUAUAAACAUCAGCCAAAGUAUUUCAGAAAUGUACGGGUACUGGCUAAAAGUGAUAUUAAGAUUGAAAAAGUGCAGGUCAAAAUGAAUAGAUUUUAAAAUUACACAUUUCCAAAAAUAAAAAUUUUGUAAUACCAGGUCUCUCAUUCAAUUUUUUCCUCCAAUAUACAUAUCCUAUUGUAUAGGCCCUUGGAGAGACACCCACACUAUUCUCAGUUAACUAAAUCCAUUCUUCUGGCUCACAAUACUGAACAAACACAAUAAUUUUAUUGAAAUUAUUCUCUCAAAUAAUUUCUACCUAAAAAAAAAACCCCAUAAUAUCUGAAAACUCAUUUUUUAGUUUAUUUUGAAACAGUCCUUUUGGUAUUACCUCUUUUAAUUAUAUUUGACUCUUUUAGUUAUUUGCAUAUUUAUUUAUAUAUCAUAGCUUAUUUAAAUUCUUUUGCUUUGUUAUUUAGUAAAAUAUAAUGAUCAUCUCCAUAUCCCAGAAAAAAAUCAGAUUAUGGAGGGAAGAUCAUUUAAGUAAUGUUUUUGUUAUUGUAACUGAAAAUUUCUUUUCAUAAGAAAAUACUAGUGCAUUAAAAAUUCCUGUGGGUCUGAGAAAUGUUGAUUGGUUCUAGAAAACCUUAUAUUAGUAAAAAUAUACAAUAUUUUUACUGUGAUACUAGAAAAAUAUACUUAAUAAUAAGCAUGUGUACUGAAGAGGAGAUACAACUUUCCUAAUUACUUGUAACAAUAAAGUUACAAGUUCUAUUGGUAAGAGCAAUUGAAGAAUGGUGGAUUGUCCAAUUCAUUAAAAUUUUGGAAGUACUUAAACAAUAAAAUGUACAGAACUAAAGAAGGGAACAGUAUAUCUUUCCUUUUCAAAUAUGAGAAAAUUAUCUGAGGACAAAUAUGUAAAUGUUAUGACAGUUAUUUUCUAUGCUAUUUCUCAAAAUUUUGCCUGUUAUUAACCCUUAAGAGAUUCUAGGGCUGAGAGUUUAGCUCAGUAGUGCAAGCACCUGCCUGGCAAGGGCGAGAUCAUGAGUUUGAUCCCCAGUACCAAAUAAAUAAAUAAAUGUUUCUAUGAUUUUAUGUAAUUAAUAUCACAACCAAUUUCUUUCUUUUCUUUCUUUUUUUUUUUUUUUUUUUUUGUCUUUUUUGAGACAGGGUUUCACUAUGCAGUUCAGGCUGACCCUGAGCUCACUUUGUAGCCCAGGCUGGUUUUGAACUUGCAAUGAUCCGCCUGGAUUACAGGCAUGAGUCACCACCCCCAACUUUAAUUUCUAAUCAAAAGCAUUUUCUAUCACAUAUCUUUCAAAUUUCAUCAGUUGCACUACAGAAAUGAUUCAGAGUUUCAGUGUCACUUUGUUUCAUCUAGAAUUACCAUUUUUUCUGACCUAGUUAAAAGUUGCUCUUCUAGAAGCUCAGGUCAAAUGUUGCUGUGAAAUCUUCGCAAACCUUUCUCACAAGCAGAAUUUGUUCCUUUCUUUAAUGUGCAUUAUUCUUUAUCCUAUUUCUUUCAGACCUUGUAUCUCGCUAUAUUACAAUUAUAUUUUAUAUCAGUAGGCUAUCAUUAAGAAACUCAUUAACUUUCUAUAACAUGAAAGAAAUCCAAAGGAAAGCAGUUAAUGUUGUCAAAGUAGUUCCUUUCCUUUUUGUUCUAUAUCUUCCAAGUUCAAACUCUGCUUUUCUAGCUCAGGCUUCCCAUAGUAUAACAAAAUAAUUUGCUGUAACUCCAGACAUCACAUCAAUGUCCUAAUCAAGGGUAAAUAAAUGGCAAUGCAAAAUGUUCUCUCAGCAGUCUCUACUCAGCCAAUCCCUGCCAUGCACGAACACAUAUACACACAGCUAUGCACAGAAUUAUGAUACUUUCUAAGAAGUCCCGCUCAACCUCUAUCCAGAUGUCAAUGUCCUAUAUUUAGUCUAUGUGCUCCCUUAUAUGAAAAAAAGUUGGAAAUUUAAGGUUUUAUCUUCCUCCUGGAUACAUAGCCAUCCUCAAUAAAAUCAGGUCUUUGUUACUCAAAAACAGCAGGUAGAAAGGAUAUAUAAUAUGUAUUUAGCAGCCUCUGCCACAUUUUCCCUACCACAUCUCUUUUCUUAUCUAUGUUGUAAUAUCCUGAGAGAUUUAGAGUAUGUGCCAUCCAUUUUAUAUUUCUAGGGUUUAGCACAGUACAUGAUAUACAGGUUUUAACUGUUAUUUCUUUCUUCCUUUUAUGAAGGGCUAUUCCACGUAAUCUGUAUAGAAAAAAUCCAUGUUUUGCAAGUAUAAAACUAUGUGUUUUAUGCUGAUUUUAUCAUGUGUUUGAUUAUUUAAGAAAAAAAUUUUAUCACUUAUGAAAAAUGAUAAUAGUUAUCAAUCAUCAUGUAACCUAUGUUAAUUUAUGUUAUUUAUUAUUAUAGUUCACCGUCAUUGUUGAUAAUCAUGUAAUUUAUGUUUAUUUUUCAAUAUUUUGUUGCUUUCAAGUGAGUUUCCAACUAUUGAUUUACAUGAAUAUUCUAAUUGCUCAAGUACAUAGAUGACUUUUUCCUUAAGAUUGAAUCCUAAAUGUAAACUGAAAUAAAAUAACUUUCAAGAUAUUCUUUGCUACUAAAAUAAGUGUAAAUUUUUUGGCUUUAUUAUUCAUAAUUGCAUGGGAAGAGUCGUUCAAUUGGAAGUGAUGUUAAAUAAGUCUUGCCUAGGUUAAAUUUCUAUGGCCAAAAUGUUAUUAAUAUAAAUAUUUCAGAUAUUGCUGUGUGUGAAGGACCUACACAUUUCUCAGUGUUUUUAUUCUGCGUGUCUCUGAAUCCUGGUGGUGCUUUGCCUGAGGAUAUUAGGCAACUGCAGCAGAAUGUUAUCAGUUAUACUUUUAGAUACUAGUUUAAAUGUUUACUUGGCCAGAAACUUCUUAUGCAUUUGACUCUAGUAUCUUUUAAGUCAGUAGUUUUCAAUUAGAGAUGCAUACUAGAUUUCUAUAUAAAGUUUAAUUAAAAUUCAGAAUUUAUUGGACCUGUUCCAGAUUUGCCUAAUCUCUUUGCUUGAUAUUUGUCAGUAUACUAUAUCUUCUUCCUAUAUGUUUGAUCUAUUCGUGGCAUAGUAUAUACAUUAUGUUUCUGUAUCAUUAUAUGUUACAUCUCGUUUUUUAUUUAUAAAAAUUGUGUUCACCCUUUCUUUUUGUAAAUCAUAUAUAACAUUUGUUGUCUUCAUUGGAAAUGAACUAAUUAUUGUCUUUAGAUAUUUUAUCAAAAAUGUGAAUUGGCUUUAUUAUUGGUAUCGUCUCUAAUGUUUCACAUUCUGGUCCAUUAAGUUGUCCUCUAGGGAAAAUAAUCAGUACAUAAUUUGUCAGUAGGUAAAUUAAGAAAAAGGAAACUCUGAUUCAAGAACUAAAACAUUGGGUUGUCUCAAAUUUUUUCUUUAUUUGAUAAAAUGAGAAGUUGAAA